rnacentral:lncRNA from 1 species
GAUUAUUAUUAUUAUUAUUAUUAUUAGGUCUUUCAACCUUUCAGUUGAAAGACCUAUAGGGUUUGUUCUGAUUAUUAUUAUUAUUAUUUUUUUUUUUUUUUUCUCGCCAACUUUUUUUUCCUUCGCUGUUUUUUUGUUUCACAAGAUGUCGCUUAGAUAUAAGGUAAAUGAUAUCGAACAGUUAAUACGCUUCUGAAACUGACACCGCGUAACAAAAAACUUUACCUUGUAAGAGUUAUCUCCCCGAACACUGUUUUUCUUGUGGCCACUACUCCUUCGCAACCGUAUAAGAAACCGACAAAUUUAUUUUUCCAAAUUGCUCGUUAUAUCCUCAGGAUGUUCUGUUUCAUUUUGAACCGAAGCUAUCCGGAGACUCCAUAUGAGAGUUAUCCCCCCUUUUAUAUAUGAUACACAGUGAUGCUUGCAUUUCUAACUGGUAAACUAUAAGUGAUAGAGACCUAGGGUCUUUUGAUUUAAGAUCCUUGGUCCAAAAAAAUGAAAAUUAGGUCAAGGUCAAAGGUCAAGGUCAAAUUCUAAAUUUUGAUUUUGGCUUAUUUUCACCUUUUUUC